GGCUAUAGCUCAGUGGUAGAGCACACGCUUAGCAUACCCAAGGUCCUGGGUUCAAUCCCCAGUACUGCCA
rnacentral:tRNA from 1 species